rnacentral:lncRNA from 1 species
UUCAACUGUUGUCUGGCCGUGCUGCUGGUGGCUUAGGAAACCUGUCCCAGGACCUCUUUCACCUCUUAGCAUGUGUCAGCGCCAUCAACCAUUGUUUCAGAGGCCUCUUUGAGACUGGGACAUUGAUUUGAUACUUGGCAGUUCCCUGCUGCAUUGAGUUUGGGUCUUUUCCUUGGGCAAGGCAGAUGGGCCUACAGCUCUAUUUUUGGAGGCCACAGAGAGUGGCGAUUUCACAUGCAGCUCCUGGAACGUGCAUUUUGGAGUAUUAGGGCAGCGAGUCUGUUGAGAAGCACAGCAGAAGAAAUCCUGGGCCAACCCUUUAUGUGCUGUGUCAGACUGGCUUAUUAUCCACCCUCCUGACUCCAGGGUCAGUCAGGUGAGUAGGUCACUGAAGGACCCUCUCCAGAGGGACUUUUGGCAGGCUGUCCUUUGACCAGGGCAGCUAGCCUUCCAGCGACUUCAGGUGCGUGACUAAGAUUUCCGGCUCAGGCGUGCCCCGGGCCUUUCCGGGCCAGGCAGCCGCCCCCGCGCCGCCAUGCUGGAGCCUGCUUCCUGGCGGGGACGAUAAGAUAGGUUGCGGUGGCACUGGUCCAGCGCUGGAGCUUCAGCGCCCUCUGAUGGGCAAGCCUGGGAGGGCGGGGCCCAUGCUCGGAUGCCCCGCCCCACCAGACCUUGGGAGCGGGCGGGGCUGCAGCACGGGUUACCCGCAGUGGCUGUCCAGGUUUCGCAAGGACGUGACCUUGAGAGGGAAAAAGUCCCCUGGUGCGUCACGAGUGGUUGCUAACCCGGGCUAGCGAGCUGAACUAGUUUUCGAAAUCCAGAGAGGUGGGAAGGAAUAGGGACUUAAACGUUCAUACUGGGGACUCGUGGCCAGCUGCCCCUCUACGACCGACCGCCAAGGCACGCUUUGUGCGCAGGACCCGGAAUCCGGUACGAGCCUGCAUCCCGACUUUGUCUGGGCCUGUCCUUGGGGUGACGUCAUUCUGAGAGUCAGCAGAAUAAGUAGCGUCCCCUGCUGCAGUCCAGAGCUAAGGCUGUGAAUUCAGGUCGAUUCCCCCAGCCCUACAAGGAGCCAGGGAUUCCAACAAAAGGAUGGUUUCAGCUAAGGCAGUUUAGGGGUGCCUCAUCCUGAUCUCACAUAGGCAGUGAGGGUGACUCUUUGGCUUCUUACUGGAAUCUCAGGAGAGAAAACAAAAAAAAAAAAAAAACAACAAAAGCAAAACAACAAAAACCAACCAUAACCUAGGCGACCAAUUCCUUGCUCUGCCUUCAGCAUUGUAACCUCAAGUUUUCUGAAGAAGCUUCGUCUGAUUAGAACAACUUGGUGUGGAAUUUUGUGAAAAGAGGAGAGUCAAAAUUGACUUAUUUUAGAACCUUUAAUAACCAUUUACUUUAUUUUUUUAUAUCUGACCCAACAUGUGUGUGUGUGUGUGUGUGUGUGUGUGUGUGUGUGUGUACGUGAAUGGAUGGCUCAUGCCCACCAGUGCACUUGUGGAGUGCAUGUGGAAUCCAAAAGACAACCUUGGGUGCCCUUCCUCAGAAGACAU